rnacentral:rRNA from 1 species
GAAGAAGAUGUCAAGGGCGCACGGCGGAUGCCUUGGCACAGGAAGCCGAUGAAGGACGCGGCAAGCCGCGAUAGUCUGCGGGGAGGGGCAAACACCCUUCGAUCCGCAGGUUUCCGAAUGGGGGAACCCAGCAGGGGUCAUGCCCUGCUACCCCGAGCUGAAUCAAAUAGGCUCGGAGGAGGCAACCCGGGGAACUGAAACAUCUAAGUACCCGGAGGAACAGAAAUCAACCGAGAUUGCGCGAGUAGCGGCGAGCGAAAGCGCACCAGCCCAAACCCAUGCACGUGCAAGCUUGAGGGCGUUGCUGCAUGCGGUGUUGUGGGACCUUCCCCUCCCAGGGCCUCAGACCUGGGACGGAGUUACAAAGCGUCGCGGUAGCGGAACGGCAUGGAAAGGCCGGCCGCAGCGGGUAAGAGCCCCGUACGCGAAACCCCGACGCCUCCGAGGAAGGCACCCGAGUAGUGCCGGGCACGUGAAACCCGGUGCGAAUCCGGGGGGACCACCCUCCAAGGCUGAAUACUCUCCUGUGACCGAUAGCGAACCAGUACCGUGAGGGAAAGGUGAAAAGCACCCCGAGAGGGGAGUGAAACAGUACCUGAAACCGUGCGCCUACAAGCAGUCGGAGCACUCCUGCAGUGUGACGGCGUGCCUUUUGUAGAAUGAGCCAGCGAGUUGCGGUAAGCGGCGAGGUUAAGGUUGGAACCGAGCCGCAGUGAAAGCGAGCCUUUAAGAUGGCGACAGAGUCGCUUGCCGCAGACGCGAAGCCGGGUGAGCUAUCCAUGGGCAGGCUGAAGCGGGGGUAAGACCCCGUGGAGGGCCGAACCCACUUCGGUUGAAAACGGAGGGGAUGACCCGUGGAUAGGGGUGAAAGGCCAAUCAAACCCGGAGAUAUCUCGUUCUCCCCGAAAUAGCUUUAGGGCUAGCCUCGGUCGUUCAGUGCCGGAGGUAGAGCACUGGAUCUUCUAGGGGGCUUCACCGCCUACCGAAAAGAACCAAACUCCGAAUACCGGCACUUAAGA